AUUGAACGCUGGCGGCAUGCCUUACACAUGCAAGUCGAACGGUAACAGGUCUUCGGAUGCUGACGAGUGGCGAACGGGUGAGUAAUACAUCGGAACGUGCCCAGACGUGGGGGAUAACGAGGCGAAAGCUUUGCUAAUACCGCAUACGAUCUAAGGAUGAAAGCAGGGGACCGCAAGGCCUUGCGCGUUUGGAGCGGCCGAUGGCAGAUUAGGUAGUUGGUGGGAUAAAAGCUUACCAAGCCGACGAUCUGUAGCUGGUCUGAGAGGACGACCAGCCACACUGGGACUGAGACACGGCCCAGACUCCUACGGGAGGCAGCAGUAGGGAAUUUUGGACAAUGGGCGAAAGCCUGAUCCAGCAAUGCCGCGUGCAGGAUGAAGGCCUUCGGAUUGUAAACUGCUUUUGUACGGAACGAAAAGGCGCUGGCUAAUACCUGGGGCACAUGACGGUACCGUAAGAAUAAGCACCGGCUAACUACGUG
rnacentral:rRNA from 1 species